rnacentral:rRNA from 1 species
CAGCAGCCGCGGUAAUACAGAGGGUGCAAGCGUUAAUCGGAGUUACUGGGCGUAAAGGGCGCGUAGGCGGUUAUAUAAGUGAGAUGUGAAAUCCCUGGGCUUAACCUAGGAACUGCAUCUUAUACUGUAUGGCUAGAGUGAGGAAGAGGGUUGUGGAAUUCCCAGUGUAGAGGUGAAAUUCGUAGAUAUUGGGAAGAACACCGGUGGCGAAGGCGGCAACCUGGUCCUUGACUGACGCUGAGGCGCGAGAGCUAGGGGAGCGAACAGGAUUAGAUACCCCCGUAGUCCCUGUCUCUUAUAC